UACACUCCUACGGGAGGCAGCAGUGGGGAAUAUUGGACAAUGGGCGCAAGCCUGAUCCAGCCAUGCCGCGUGAGUGAUGAAGGCCCUAGGGUUGUAAAGCUCUUUCACCGGUGAAGAUAAUGACGGUAACCGGAGAAGAAGCCCCGGCUAACUUCGUGCCAGCAGCCGCGGUAAUACGAAGGGGGCUAGCGUUGUUCGGAUUUACUGGGCGUAAAGCGCACGUAGGCGGACUAUUAAGUCAGGGGUGAAAUCCCGGGGCUCAACCCCGGAACUGCCUUUGAUACUGGUAGUCUUGAGUUCGAGAGAGGUGAGUGGAAUUCCGAGUGUAGAGGUGAAAUUCGUAGAUAUUCGGAGGAACACCAGUGGCGAAGGCGGCUCACUGGCUCGAUACUGACGCUGAGGUGCGAAAGCGUGGGGAGCAAACAGGAUUAGAAACCCUUGUAGUCCCA
rnacentral:rRNA from 1 species